rnacentral:lncRNA from 1 species
GAAUUGCCCUGGAACAAUUUACAGAGCAGCGGUUCCUUUUCCGUGGAUGGAGACUUCUCUCUGCUCCUUGGAGCUCCUUCUUGUUCCAGGAUGAUAUGGAAAGUGAUUCAUCAGGCCCAAGUAGAACCUGCUAUGAGGGAUAAAGAAGCUCGUGACAACUCAACCCUUCCCAGGGAUGUUUGUGUUCAUCUAGGGACCAGAGUUUUAAUUUUGGAAUCUGAAGAGGAGAGUCCUUUCCAGGAUUAAACUGUCCUGACAUCUGUAUUCUUUCAUCGGAAUGGACUGGAACCCAGGGAUCUGCACUUGAUGAUGAUUCUGAGAACCACACAUUUUCUGAGAACUACACGUUUGGGGAACAUGAGCUGGGCCACGGGAGUGGUCUGGGUCGAGAAGGAGGAUGGAUAUAAUGACCCCCAAGAGGUUCUGCCAGCCUGAGCCAUCAGUGAUUCAAGUUUGGAGUUAGGGUAGUGGUGGGGAGUGACCUUUGUUUCUCGCCUCCAGGGGUUGUUCAUUAGAAAGGUAAUCUUCCUUCUCACCUUAGGUCUUCCUCAGUCAUCAUAAAAGCAGAGCCUGGGGGAGGGGAGGUGUUCUUUAGGGGGAUUAAAGACUCUUCCUUGAGAGGAAACAAAUUCCUUACUAAUUAUGCAAUUAUUUUAUUAUGCAGCCUUAAUGAAAAAAAAAUGCAUACACUACUCAAAGCCUAAAAAGAAGGCUGUAGCCAGGACUUAUCCAAUUUAAUAAAUCCUCUCCAUCCUGUAAUUAUUUCCUGGAU